ACAGUGGUAGCCUAGUGGUUAAGGAGCUGGAAAAGCCAGAAAAGUUGCGGGUUCAAUUCCCGGCUGCAGUG
rnacentral:tRNA from 1 species